UUUAGAAUAUUGGACACCGUAUUUUGAACAUUUGAAGGAGGCGUGGGAGAAGCGUCAUCAUCCAAAUUUACUCUUCAUAUUCUAUGAGGAAUUACAAAAGGACUUACCAGGGAUGAUUAAACGUGUAUCUGCUUUCAUGGGAAAAAACUACAAUGAUGAGCAAGUGGCAACACUCUGUGAACAUCUGGACGUUAAGAACUUUAAGAAAAACCCUUCUGUCAACAACGAACAGUUCAAAGAACUUGGCCUAACGACACCUAAUAUGGAAUUCGUCAGAAAUGGCAAAACAGGCGGUUGGCGCGACUAUUACGACGAAGAGAUGGUAGCACGGACAGAUAAAUGGAUUGAAGAUAACUUGCGCGAUACAGAUCUCAGAUUCCCAAGUGCAGAGUAGUAAUACCUUGUUAAUUCUGU